UCCGUCGUUCUCCCCUCGCUCCCAAAUUGCCCGGCGGAUCGUCGGAGGGUUCGACACACAGAGGCCCCGCGCCCCCUCCUCGCCACUGCGGCGCUGCCGGUUCCAGCGCUGGCCUCGCCGCUGCCUCCCCUUUCUCUCCCGUGCGCAGCCUCCAGGUACCCCGACGGACCACUCCCAACUGGCUAGCUCUCGGUGCUAGCGUGCGCGCCGCCGCGGCUUCUGACUGUGUACCAGAGGGGUGGGCGAAGCCGAUGCUCGCGCCGGGAGAUCCAAUGCCGCCAAGAUCGACUUCGAAGCGAACAUCGACCAGGUCCAGGUGCGGAUUAGCAGUUUCACAGUGUCAAAAUGGGGAGUGGUUCAGUCAAGCGGACAUUGGGGUUCUGAAUUUGGUGCGUCUGCUGUUGCAGAGGACAGACUUGGCUGAUGAGCAGCACAAGGGUGACAUUUGGUAGCUCUUCAGCGAGUUCAAUGCUGCUUGGUAUUGCCACAGAAACAACACAACCAUCAAGUUUUUAUGUGUUGGUUCUGCGUAUAGAUGCACUAGCCAUUUCUGAAGGAUCGGCAUGGCAAAAACAUCUGAUUCAAGAAAGAAAGUUGCCGAAAAUGGAAGCAUGAUAUAAAGUUCCUUCCGUGAUACUCAUCACAAGCCAGAUAAUGAACUGCUCUCAGAAUUGCGACUCUUUCUGGGUACACCGAUAGAGUAUGCUAACACUUUCUGCAAUGUACUUCCAGGCCAUUACUGUGUCUCUUAUUAGUCAAAUUAACCUUGGCGGGCAGAUGGCAAUCAUAUAUGAAUCUGCACCGGUACAGAUAAAUUUUCCAAGUGAUUGAUCCAGAAACACAAUGAAGGCACAAAGAAUACACCUGACCAAGCAGCCAAACCAAAAGGCAAACGAACAAGAAAAGCUAAAAGACUGUACACAAGCACUAGGCUACAACAGAAGCUCAUAUUAUGGAUCAACAUAAGUUUUCAGAUCAGUUGAUUGACAUUUAUGUCGUAACUUACGGCUCAGAGCUUUAAUUUACUUGUAACCAGGCAAUCUUUCAGUCAUGACUACUACAAUACAGCUUUAUCCGAGCACAUCAUCUCUACAUAUGAAGACAUGUCUCUUUCUCAAGCUCUUGACGAUAUUAAUGACUGUUCGCAGUGGGAUUUGCGGAUGAAGGAUGCAUUGGCAAACGGUUUAUCAUGGGACGCUGCAUGCUAUGGCAUACAUUGGGAGGCUUAUCCCUAUGGCAUACAUUGGGAAGCUUAUUCCUUUAUAAGGAAGCUCUGAGAUCACGGAAGUUCAUGUCAGACUAUCCCUCCAAAUGAAAAGGAAUAGUGAACUUGGGCUCCUGCCUGUCAACGAGCAGAAAUAUUUGGUCUCUCUGAAUCUCUGCCCCUGUUGAGAGUGCAUACAGGCUCGACAGUAGUUGCGUCGCAGGAAUAAUGAACAUGAACUCUUUGCCUGUCAGCGAGAAGAAAUAUUUCUGUCCCACUGAAUCUCUGAUCCCGUUGAGGGCGCACACAGGCUCGACGACGGUCACAGGGAGCGUUGGGAGGAAGGGGCGGGAGCUUGAAACCAGGCACGGGCGCGAUGAACUUGCCUUCCUCCCUGCUGGGGUCGCGGCGCCGCCUUUCCUCGCCUGAUACAAUAUGUGUAAAAACAUCAGCAUAAGGGUACAUUCAAGAAUAUCCGCAUCAGGGAACUGACAAUUAUAGGUAGAUUAGUUACCAAUGC